AGGGUUUGAUCAUGGCUCAGAUUGAACGCUGGCGGAAUGCUUUACACAUGCAAGUCGAACGAUGAAGCCUAGCUUGCUAGGUGAAUUAGUGGCGGACGGGUGAGUAAUAUAUCGGAACGUGUCCAUUAAUGGGGGAUAACUAAUCGAAAGGUUAGCUAAUACCGCAUACGCCCUGAGGGGGAAAGCUGGGGAUCUUCGGACCUAGCGUUAAUGGAGCGGCCGAUACCUGAUUAGCUAGUUGGUGGGGUAAAAGCCUACCAAGGCAACGAUCAGUAGCUGGUCUGAGAGGACGACCAGCCACACUGGGACUGAGACACGGCCCAGACUCCUACGGGAGGCAGCAGUGGGGAAUUUUGGACAAUGGGGGCAACCCUGAUCCAGCCAUUCCGCGUGAGUGAAGAAGGCCUUCGGGUUGUAAAGCUCUUUCGCAAGGGAAGAAACGAUAUAGGUUAAUAGCUUAUGUUAAUGACGGUACCUUGACAAGAAGCACCGGCUAACUACGUGCCAGCAGCCGCGGUAAUACGUAGGGUGCAAGCGUUAAUCGGAAUUACUGGGCGUAAAGCGUGCGCAGGCUGUUUUGUAAGUCAGAUGUGAAAUCCCCGAGCUCAACUUGGGAACUGCGUUUGAAACUACAAGACUAGAAUAGGUCAGAGGGGGGUAGAAUUCCAUGUGUAGCAGUGAAAUGCGUAGAGAUGUG
rnacentral:rRNA from 1 species